rnacentral:rRNA from 1 species
AGAGUUUGAUCCUGGCUCAGGAUGAACGCUAGCGGCAGGCUUAACACAUGCAAGUCGAGGGGCAGCACGGGUAGCAAUACCUGGUGGCGACCGGCGCAAGGGGGCGUAACGCGUAUGUAAUCUACCAUUAACCGGGGAAUAGCCCAGAGAAAUCUGGAUUAAUAUCUCAUAGUUCUAUUAGAUCGCAUGAUUUGAUAGAUAAAGCUCCGGCGGUUACAGAUGGGCAUGCGUGACAUUAGCUAGUUGGUAAGGUAACGGCUUACCAUGGCUACGAUGUCUAGGGGUUCUGAGAGGAAGGUCCCCCACACUGGAACUGAGACACGGUCCAGACUCCUACGGGAGGCAGCAGUGAGGAAUAUUGGACAAUGGAUGGAAAUCUGAUCCAGCCAUGCCGCGUGAAGGAAGAAUGUCCUAUGGAUUGUAAACUUCUUUUGUAUGGGAGCAAUAAGGUCUUCGUGAAGACUGAUGAGAGUACCAUACGAAUAAGCAUCGGCUAACUCCGUGCCAGCAGCCGCGGUAAUACGGAGGAUGCGAGCGUUAUCCGGAUUUAUUGGGUUUAAAGGGUGCGUAGGCUGUUAUAUAAGUCAGUGGUGAAAGCCUGCAGCUUAACUGCAGAACUGCCAUUGAUACUGCCAGUCUGGAGUAUGGUUGAGGUAGCUGGAAUGUGUCAUGUAGCGGUGAAAUGCUUAGAGAUCACACAGAAUAUCGAUUGCGAAGGCAGCUCACAAAGCCAUUAUUGACGCUGAGGCACGAAAGUGUGGGGAUCAAACAGGAUUAGAUACCCUGGUAGUCCACACUGUAAACGAUGAUAACUAGCUGUCGGCGAUACACAGUCGGUGGCCAAGCGAAAGCGAUAAGUUAUCCACCUGGGGAGUACGACCGCAAGGUUGAAACUCAAAGGAAUUGACGGGGGCCCGCACAAGCGGAGGAACAUGUGGUUUAAUUCGAUGAUACGCGAGGAACCUUACCUGGGCUUAAAUGUAGAGCGACAGAUUGUGAAAGCAGUCCUUCUUCGGACGAUCUACAAGGUGCUGCAUGGUUGUCGUCAGCUCGUGCCGUGAGGUGUCGGCUUAAGUGCCAUAACGAGCGCAACCCUUGUCGUUAGUUGCCAUCAAGUAAUGUUGGGGACUCUAGCGAGACUGCCACCGUAAGGUGUGAGGAAGGGGGGGAUGACGUCAAAUCAGCACGGCCCUUACGUCCGGGGCGACACACGUGUUACAAUGGUAGGUACAGAGGGGCGCUAUCCAGCGAUGGAGUGCGAAUCUCAAAAACCUAUCUCAGUUCGGAUCGGAGUCUGCAACUCGACUCCGUGAAGUUGGAUUCGCUAGUAAUCGCGCAUCAGCCAUGGCGCGGUGAAUACGUUCCCGGGCCUUGUACACACCGCCCGUCAAGCCAUGGAAGCUGGGGGUGCCUGAAGUUCGUGACCGCAAGGAGCGACCUAGGGCAAAACUAGUAACUGGGGCUAAGUCGUAACAAGGUAACC